AUGGGGUAGGGGGCAGUUGUGGCUGCCAGUGGGGGGUGAGGAGUGCUGGUCCUAAGGAAGUAUCCUAGCUAGAAGGAUACUUCUAGCUGUGUGUAUAAAGGAUGUGUAUAAAGAAGCCCUCUGCCAAACCUCCCAGUGCAGAAUGCUGCAAGACCCCUGGCAGGGUUGUCACUGGCUUCUAGUUAGCAGGAUCAGUCGGGGAAGGACUGGGGGAGGAGGCAGGUGCACACUGACGUAAGAAUGCCAGGCGCUUGGUGGGGUAAGUGCGUCAUCCCCUGGUUGAAUGGGUUAAUAUUUUUGCAGACUCCGUUUAGUAUAAAGGCCCUACCUGCACUGUUUGAAGCAACAGGAGUUCCAGGUGAGCUACUGAGCCCUAACAGCUUGGCAGCAGCCCUGAAGCCCCCACGGGAAUCCGGAGCUGGUACCACUACUUCCAUUUCCCACUUGAGCCCUGGAGUGACCAAAUGUCACUGUGCCUGGGUGAUAUCCAAUCCAGGAGGCAAUGAACAGGCCAAUUGGGUGGGGCUUCUGAGUGGUGAUGAAGUCAAGCCGGUGAGGGCAAGGAUUCCCUGACUGGUGACCCCCACCCUCUGGGUCGCAUGGUAAAGUUUGGCUGAAGAUGCUGAGAAUUUCAUCUCUCAAAAUGGGGGCGGUGGGGUUGUGGCUCAGCUGCAGAGAGCUCACCUAGCAGGUGCGAGGCCCUGGGUUCAAUCCUCAGUGCCACAUAAAAAUAAAUAAAUAAAGGUAUUGUGUCCAACUACAACUAAAAAAUAAAUAUUUUAAAAAAUGCACAUCUUGGGCUAAGGUCGUGGCUCAGUGGCAGAGCACUUACCUCACACAUGUGAGGC
rnacentral:lncRNA from 1 species